CUUUUUUCCUGUUCCUUCAUUCAGAAAUGUCAUUUUCCAGCAGAGAAUAUGUGUCUUUUCCAAGAACAGCUGAAAAACUGCAUUGCUCAAAGCUCUUCAGUGUCUGUGGCUUUCAAACAGAUGGAGUCUGCUGGUUACCCCAGUUAAGAUUCCCUUUUCCCAAACAGCCCUCACUAAAUAGAGCAGACCUCAGGCUUGUUGGUGAGGGGAAGAUGAAUGGAAGCUGCCUUUGGUGAGGAUGGAUGGUGCCUGCCACCCUGAAGGAACAUGUAGGAUGGAGCUGUUCAGAGAAGGGCGACUGGUUCCAUCAGCAUCUUCAUUUUAAUGCAGUCCAAGCCUGACCUGACUGUACUUGGCCAAACUACAACAGCAUUCUUCUCACAUGCUCUUGCUUAGAAGCUGAAACCUGGGUUUCAAUGACUUUACGUCACAGUGAAAAUCCAUGGCAGGUUUACACCUCCUGCAACUGCAUCCCUGAAAUGACUCAGCAUUGGGAAUCAGCCACUCAGCUGAAUUUCCCAUGUUUACUGAUUUAGGUGGAUGUGGAAAGAAAUUUUUCGGCUAUGAUUAGCUGAAUUCAGACAAGUUGUAUAUAAAAAGGAGAACUUUGUUUUGGUUUGUUUGGAUUGGGUUGGAAGGGGCCUUAAAGCUCAUCCAGUUCCAACCCCCUGCCACCGGCAGGGACACCUUCCACUAGAGCAGCUUGCUCCAAGCCCCAUCCAACCUGCCAGGGAUGGGACAGCCACAGCUUCUCUGGGCACCCUGUACCAAUGCCUCAGCACCCUCACAGUGGGUGGGUUAAGGUAUGCUGCUGGGAAGAAGCUCGUCCCGCUGGCUCGGGGUUUACCACAUGCUCCAUCUUGGAGCGCAAGCCAUGAUGUCCAGGGUAUCCACACUGGGAUUGCCAAUCUACAGGUGUUUCUGUGAAAGCCCCGGGGUUGCAGAAGUUUCUUUUCCUGUAGGACAAGGUGACUCUUUCUUUCCCUGCUCUUCUUACUCUUUCCUUUCCCUUCUGUGGCAUUCCGUCUGAUAGCCAGUAAGAGGAAUAACAAGGAAUAGCCUGUAAGUGUGUUUCCUAUAAUCAUUUUGUUAAAUGAGUGACCUGAUGACAUAAAUUAAUACCCCAGGUGCUGUUUCAGCAGCAUUAAUCCUUUCUCCUGCUGUGCAAAUGGCAUUUUAACAUCCCAAGGCCCCACAGCUGCUGAGUGGAUAUUUAAUGUAAAACAUGCAGCAUCUGAAACAUUCCCAGCCCCGGGUAAAGAUUCCCUCCAGCCCUGGCAUCCAACGUGACUUCAGGCCUGUACUAUGCAGGCAAGAAAUGUGCUCUGAUGAUCCACGUGGCAGAGGGCUUCUGUAACCUAUACCAUGAGGUCACAUUUCAGUACCGGGAGCAACUGAGAUUGAAGUCAUGAUUUAAACCACUGGAGUAAAUAUAGUUGGUACAUUAGCGCAUCGCAGACCUAACUUGGGGGAUUAUGUCACAGGAUAUAUUUUCUGAAUUGUCUCAAAUACAAUCUUUAGGUCUCCUGGUUAUUACCAUGGUGAUGUGGCUCCAAGUCGGCAUUGAAACCUCCCAGAGCAUUUUCUAAUCAGAACUGAAUGAAUGAAAUGUUCUCUCUACCUUAAGUGAAGUCAGUUUGCCCUCAGAUCGAACAUUCUGUAUGGAACCAGAUGGGCAGUUUGGGCUUGGGAUGCAUGUGUUGAAUUAAAGAUGUUGUAUGGACCAGC